rnacentral:rRNA from 1 species
UGGGGAAUAUUGCGCAAUGGACGAAAGUCUGACGCAGCGACGCCGCGUGUGGGAUGACGGUCUUCGGAUUGUAAACCACUGUCGGGAGGGACGAAUACGCCGCAAGGCGGGUGACGGUACCUCCAAAGGAAGCACCGGCUAACUCCGUGCCAGCAGCCGCGGUAAUACGGAGGGUGCGAGCGUUGUCCGGAAUCACUGGGCGUAAAGGGCGCGUAGGCGGCCUGAUAAGUAGGGGGUGAAAUCCUGCGGCUUAACCGCAGGGCUGCCUUCUAAACUGUCAGGCUUGAGCACAGUAGAGGCAGGUGGAAUUCCCGGUGUAGCGGUGGAAUGCGUAGAGAUCGGGAGGAACAUCAGUGGCGAAGGCGGCCUGCUGGGCUGUUGCUGACGCUGAGGCGCGACAGCGUGGGGAGCAAAC